CCUACGGGUGGCUGCAGUGGGGAAUAUUUCGCAAUGGGCGAAAGCCUGACGCAGCGACGCCGCGUGAGGGAUGAAGGUCUUCGGAUCGUAAACCUCUGUCAGCAGGGAAGAACGGUCACUGUGCUAAUCAGCAGUGAAUUGACGGUACCUGCACAGGAAGCACCGGCUAACUCCGUGCCAGCAGCCGCGGUAAUACGGAGGGUGCGAGCGUUAAUCGGAAUUACUGGGCGUAAAGCGCUCGUAGGCGGUAUGUCAAGUCAGGGGUGAAAUCCCAGCGCUUAACGUGGGAACUGCCUUUGAAACUGGCAAACUGGAGUGUGGGAGAGGAUAGUGGAAUUCCAGGUGUAGGAGGGAAAUCCGUAGAGAUCUGGAGGAACAUCAGUGGCGAAGGCGACUAUCUGGAACAUAACUGACGCUGAGGAGCGAAAGCGUGGGGAGCAAACAGGAUUAGAUACCCGUGUAGUC
rnacentral:rRNA from 1 species